GUUGACCUUAGGCCAGGAAGUGGUAGUUCACCCUGACGGCAAGAAGUAGCUGUUCGUUGUAACGACGACGUUGAAGUAGAUCCCACAGAGCAAAGAAAUAUAUGCCUGAUGUCCCCCUUCAGAAGAAGACCUGGUUCGAUGGUGAUGCAGAUGCUUGUCUGGCUGUCUCCCUGAACAUUGCUGCAAAAGUCGCAACAACAGUACUGAAGCAGACCAACAUCAGCGGACACUCCAGCCCUGAACACCACACAGUCCGUGUCCUAAGACCUGUUUCUCUCCUACGAGAACUUGCUUUGGAAAGGAGGGGGGAGGUGAGGUAGUGGGAGAGGUGGGAACUGGAGUGGGGGGUCCUGCAAGCAUGUUUCCAGAUGAAAACCAUCUGGGGAGACUGACUUUACAAGCAGGCCAUUCAAGUUAACCAUCUGAGGAAAAACAAAUGAGAAGGAGG